AACUAUAUGUAGAGGUCAAAUUAGCACAACUCGACCAUCGUCAUCAUCAACAAAGGGUACCUGCAUUAUAAUAGUAUCAAAGAAGAAAAAGAAAAAGGAAACAAGAAAAGCAACAUUUGCUGUAUAUCAUGGCCAAGAUGAGUAUGUUCCUCGGCAUCUUCGUAUUUGUCUUGAUUGCCAUGCCAACCCACUCCUCUUCGAACAGAAUGACACUGAAGGAGGAUCUGGGAGUAGUAAACAACUGCCCAAAGUUUAAGUGCCUACAAAUUGUGUGCCCACAAAUUAAAUGCAGAUUUGGCUCUUACACUCCGUGCUGUGGCUGCCCAAGAUGCUGUGCUUCUGUUAAUUGAAUUACUUAGCGGAUCCCGGUUGUACCGCAUACCCAUGUAACUUCGAUCAUUAGUUCUACACAUAUAUAUAUACACGUACCUCGCAAUGGUAUUGUGUCUUUCUCCUCUUAAUUUGAUGUAGCUGCUUACACCUAUGUUUGUAUUAGUGUAUUAAUUGCAUUUUAAAUGUAAUGAAGCUUACGUUGUUGUAUAACAAGGCAAGGCAACCUUGGGGCUAUAAAAGGAGAACUUGUAUACUACGUAAUUAAAGGUUUCAAAUUAUUUUUAAGAACAUGAUAGAGAGACUCUUUUCUCUGAUCUAACCUAACCCAUCCUGGUCUAGAGAGUUAAAGCCGAUUGACUACACUUGUAACCUUCACCAAAUCAUAGUAAAGGUAUCCGCCAAUCCCUCCUGGAUGUUGGUUUUAACCGUGAACCACGUAAAUCUAUGUUCAUAUUGAAUUAGAACUUCAUUUUGUUAUUGCGUCCUUGACAUCUAACGCGAUCUUUAACUUGUUGCCAUAAUCUUAGAUUUGGUAUAAGUAUUUGAUUUUUAGUAGUUGCAAAAACCGCUGGUCAUCAACAGCAUCCCACUCGGAAGACAAUGCUGUUGCUUUCCAAUCCAAUAGUAUAACACCAAAACUGAGAUAUUUUGACCAUAGAAGGAUGUAUACCGACUUUCUUAUCCUUUCAAUUUGUAGAGUAUUAUUUAUAGAUGUCAGUCAGUAGUACUUGAAGUCUGGAACAUCAUCAUCAUUCAUCAAAGAAGAAAUAGAGAAGCAUCACUAUACGUAUAUCAUGGCUAAGAUCAGUAUGAUCGUUAGCAUCUUCUUGUUUGUCUUGAUUGUCAUGCCAGCUUCUUCAUCCAGCAGAUUGAUACUGGAAGAGGAUCAAGAAGUAGUAGAUACAUGCCCAAAAGUUAAGUGCGUAAGUGUUUGCCUCAAUCCACCACCAAAAGUGUGUCCACAAAUUAAAUGCAGAUUUGGUUCUUACACGCCGUGUUGUAGAUGCCCAGAAUGCUGUCCUCCUCCUGCUUAAAUUACCCACUGGAUCCUGAUCGUACCGCAUACCGUAUAAUUUGUUCUUGCAAAUGUAUGUCACUACGUAUUGUGUAGUUUGGACUUGGAUGGUAUUGUGUUUUCUCCUUUUGAUUUGAUGUAAGUGUACAAUCGAAUGUUGGAUGUAAUAAUAAAAUGAGUAAAUGUAUGCGGUCAUAUGUUGCUUGCAUAAAUGAGUAAAUGUAUGCGGACCGGGCUGCAUAGACUCGGUAAUUAAAAGUU